AAGUCGUAACAAGGUAGCCGUACUGGAAGGUGCGCUGGAUCACCUCCUU
rnacentral:rRNA from 5 species